rnacentral:rRNA from 1 species
UACAGAGGUCUCAAGCGUUUGUUCGGGAUUCAUUGGGCGUAAAGGGCGCGUAGGCGGCGGGGUAAGUCGGGUGUGAAAUCUCAGAGCUCAACUCUGAAAUGGCACUUGAUACUGCUCUGCUAGAGGACUGGAGAGGAGAUUGGAAUUCACGGUGUAGCAGUGAAAUGCGUAGAUAUCGUGAGGAAGACCGGUGGCGAAGGCGGAUCUCUGGACAGUUCCUGAC